rnacentral:rRNA from 1 species
AUUCCAGCUCCAAUAGCGUAUAUUAAAGUUGUUGCAGUUAAAAAGCUCGUAGUCGGAUUUCGGGGCCUGCCGAGCGGUCUGCCGAUGGGUAUGCACUGUUCGGCGCGUCCUUCUUUCCGGAGACUAAUUCUACUCUUAACUGAGCGGAAUUGGGAGACGGAUCGUUUACUUUGAAAAAAUCAGAGUGUUUCAAGCAGGCAGCUCGCUCUUGCAUGGAUUAGCAUGGGAUAAUGAAAUAGGACUUUGGUGCUAUUUUGUUGGUUUCGAACACCGAAGUAAUGAUUAACAGGGACAGUCAGGGGCACUCGUAUUCCGCCGAGAGAGGUGAAAUUCUCAGACCAGCGGAAGACGAACCACUGCGAAAGCAUUUGCCAGGGAUGUUUUCAUUA